UUUCUGAGCUGCUAAAGUGAGGCCCUGGUUUGUAUUCCAAAUCUGAGGAGCAGGGUCAAGCACAGGUGGGUAGAGCUGAGUUUUUCAGGUAAUGUCUGUGAAACCAAAGGCGAGCAGAGGUAGGUUGACCUGAAAAGCCAGGUUAGGUUCAUUUAGCUCUAUCUCACAGUUGAGCUCAGAGGCAGAUAAGUAGAGCAGAUCUGUCAGGUGAGGCCUGAGGAGCCAGGGUUAGCCUCAUCUAGACCGAACUGGAUCUCUUGGAUCACCCCGGAGACUAGGAAGUGAAGACAGGUGGCUCGAGCUAGGUCUCUCAGGUGAGAUCUGAGGAGCCGGGAUUGGGCAUGAGUGGAUCUGGACCUCCCAGAACUGCAUCUCUACCCAUCUUGUAGAGAUAUCUUGUGAGGGUGAGAACUUGUGGCCAGGCACAGGUAUGUGGAAUUGAAUUUCUCAGGGAAGGUCUAUGGAUUCUGUAUCUGGCACAGGUUUGUAUCCUUGGGUCUGUCAGCGUGAGUUAAGCACAGGUGCAUAGGGCAGAGUUUGUCAGGUAAGGUCUAUGGAACCAGGAUCAGAGCAGGUUCACAACACUAGGUCUGUCUAGUGAGAUCUGAAAAGUCACAGUGAAGCCCAAGUAAGAACCAGAUGUCUGAGAUGAGAUGUGAGCAGCUGAGAAGAGGUAUGGGUAGGCAGUGCUGGUCCACCAGGUGCAGUCUCAGGAGCCGGGAGCAAGCACAGGUAGGUAGAACUGGCCCACCAGGUGUGGUCCCAGGAGCCAAGGUCAAGCACAGGUAGGUAGAGCUGGCCCACCAGGUGUAGUCUGGGGACCCAGGAUCAAGCACAGGUAGGCAGAGCUGGCCUUCCAGUGUGGUGUGAGGAGCCAAGGUCAAGUAUAGGUAGGUAAAACUGGCCCAUCAGGUGUGGUCUGAGGACCCAGCAUCAAGCACAGGUAGGCAGAGCUGGCCCUCCAGGUGUGGUCUGAGAAACCAAGUUCAAGCACACCUAGGCAGAGCUGGCCGGCCAAGUGUGGUUGGAGGAGCCAGGGUCAAACACAGGUAGGAAGAGUUGGCCCGCCAGGUGAAGCUGAAGAGCCAGAGUCAAGCACAGGUAGGUAGAACUGGCCUGCCAGGUGUAGUCUGAGGACCCAAGAUCAAGCACAGGUAGGCAGAGCUUGCCCUCCAGGUAUGGUCUGAGGACCUAGGGUCAAGCCAUAGGUAGGAAAAGCUGGCCUGCCAGGUGAGGUCUGAGGAGCCAAGGUCAAGCGCAGGUAGGCAGAGCUGGCCCACUAGGUCUUUUAAGGAGCCAGGGUCAUGUACAGGUAGGUAGAGCUGGCCCACCAGCUGCAGUGUAAGGAGCCAGGGGCAUGUAAGGUAGGCAGAUCUGGCCGACCAGGUGUGGUCUGAGGAGCCAGGGUCAAGCACAAGUAGGUAGAGCUGGUCCACCAGGUGUGGUCUGAGGAGCCAGCAUCAUGUACAGGUAUGUAG